CAAGCACAUAUCUCCAACAUGGUUCACAAGUUCCUUGGAAAAGUUUUUUGGAAUUGAAUGCUACGUGCUGAAUUUCCUCAGGCAAAGAACUGGAAACUAUCACACAAGUAUGUGACACUCUCCUUAGCCAGCAGUAAGAACAUUUGAAGAGGUUUGUGCAUGCCUGAAGACGAUUUCACUACCCCCACCCAGCAAUUCAUG